rnacentral:tRNA from 1 species
GUUGCCAUAACUUAACGGUAGAGUGGUUAGCUGUUAACUAAUUUGCGGAGGUUCGACUCCUCCUGGCGACU